rnacentral:rRNA from 1 species
GACGUAGGGAGCGAGCGUUGUCCGGAUUCAUUGGGCGUAAAGAGCUCGUAGGCGGUUUGUCACGUCUGCUGUGAAAUCCCGAGGCUCAACCUCGGGCCUGCAGUGGGUACGGGCAGACUGGAGUGCGGUAGGGGAGAAUGGAAUUCCUGGUGUAGCGGUGGAAUGCGCAGAUAUCAGGAGGAACACCGAUGGCGAAGGCAGUUCUCUGGGCCGUAACUGACGCUGAGGAGCGAAAGCGUGGGGAGCGAACAGG